rnacentral:lncRNA from 1 species
AUGGUGCAGAGAUGGGUGGCUUUAGGCACAGAGGAAAUGGGACGGGGUGGUGCCUGGUGCCCGCCCAAGAGAGGAAACACAGAAUGGAGGUCAAGCCAAGCCAUGGCACGGACCCAGGGGGAUGCGGCACCCGUCACUGUGGGGGCCGCUCCGCUGGGAUUGGGGACGGGUGUCUGCAGGGCCGGGUGGGGGGAGAUGGGGCGGGGAGGAAGCCCUCCAGCGGCAGCGAGAGAAAGUCCAACCUCCACAGGCGUUCCGCGCCGCCAGGCCGACCUCCCACUCCCAGGGCGGGCACCGACGGAGCGGCACUGCGGAACCUGCGCGCCCGGAGACAGGAAGGUACUCUUGAAGUUUAAGAAGCCAGGAGUAGACGGGCCUUUUCUCCCCCACGCGGACAUGCGGCUGCUCCUGCUCCUGCCCCUGCUGCUGGCCCCGGCGCCCGCGUCCGCGGUGAGUGCGGCCCCGCCCCGCCCGGCCCCCGGCUGGAGAGCGGGGGUGGGGGAAGUGCCUCAGCGGGGAGGACACCCUAGGACGAGGGACAGCCGCCCCGCCGCAGCCUGGAGCCCGUCUCCCCGCGUCGACCACCUGCGGAGAGGGCCGAAGAGGGGAAGCUGGGGGGAGAAGGCGAGCCCUGGGACCCCCAGCUCUUUCAAAAAGGGGUGCAGCCUUGAAGCGGCCUGACCAAGGGACCCGGAGCUGCCCUCCCCCCUGCAGGCGCAGUGUGCAGGACUGGCAACUUCCCACCGCCCUCCUCCUUCAGAAGGUGCUGGGUGCCCCCUAAUGCUGGGACCCUCCCCCCCCCGGGGGUCGUUUUCCAAGGUGGAAGAAGGGGAGGGGGCAGUGAAGGCACGAGCCAAGGUGCAGUGCCCAUGCCUUCAUCUGCCUGGGACCAAAUUGGGCUGUGCCUCAGCUUGACUGUGUGUGCUUAGACCCCGCCCCCCUGGGGAUUUAGCUCUAGCUAGAGCAGGGAUGGCCAGUAGAACUUUGAGAUGAUAAAAAAAAAUGUCCUAAAACUGUGCAGUUCUUACAAACACUUGGUUCUGUGGCCACUGAGCCCAUGAAACAUGGCGAUUGCAACUGAAGAAUUAAGUGGUUUGAUUUGAUUUUAAUUAACCUAAAUAGCCACGGGUAGCUAACGGUUACCACAUUAUAGUGCAAACUUGGAGAGUGGACAUAGGAGCCAACUAGUGAUCAGAGUAUCUGUUUUGUUAAUGGGGCCCAAAGGACGGGGCUCCCUGGAGACCGAACCUGGAUCCUGAGGUUAUACAAGAAAGCUUCUAGGAGGCAGGACCCAUCUCUGCGGAGGGGAGGGUCCCCAGAGGUGGGCUUCCUCUUGGACGCUGCUCCUGCCAAGCUUCUCCUGGCAUUGACGGGAUGGAGGGCACAGAAGCAGCCAGGUCCCAUCGGGCCCCCGGAGAGCUCUUCACAACAGGAGCCCCACAGCCCUGCCCACCCCUCUGUGAGGCAGGCCGUCCUUGGGGAAGGAGAGCAAGGGAGAUGCCACCACUGUGGAGUGUGAGUCAAGGAUGAGAAGGGCUGCAGGGGCAGGCAGAGAGGGACAUCAGUGGUGCUCAGUGGGCACUCCUCCAAAGCCCCAUCGACCCAGCACUGGCCACAGUCAGAGCGGUAGGUGGGCCAGAGCCCUCCUUUCUCAUGUCCUCUCCAUCACCUGCCAGCUUCCCAGCAGUCACCUCUGCCACCCCGUGGUCGUUGAGGUCCCUGGCACAGGCUUUCCCUGGUGCCUGGCUCCAUGACGGCCCCGCUCAGGUGGACACUGUCGUGCCAGGACCCCAGGAUGAAACCAGAGCUCCUCCCUAACUGCUGCAUGACCAUAAGCAAAUCAGGCCUUCGAUUCCCUUUCACUGGGGGGCAUGACACUCACCCUCAAGUUACUCUGCAGGUGAAAUGAGUCAAGGUGUGCAAAACGCCCUGGGUCCUCUUAGGUGCUUUCUGCCUUAGAAACACCUGAGUAACAUUUCUUGGCCUCCUGCCCACAGCAGGUGAGCUCAGGUGGGGCCGUGAACUCGCCUGUGCCCCCUCCACCCAGGCCAGGGCUCAGCUGCCUCCAGUUUCUGGCGGUAGCAGGGGGUGGGGUAGAGCCACCACAGGGUCCUUUCUGAGUGCGGACAGGGUUUAGGGAGGAAUAAAGUGCAGAUGCAGCCUGGCCA